UCCCAGCAGCUUGAGUGAGGCAGGGGGGUGGAACGGUGCCUGAAAAAGAAUCCUGUUCCAGAGCCACUGUUUUAGCAUUCCCUGCUAGCCAUGGACACUUCCCCCUUAGUUACGUCUUUUUUUCUCCCCAUCCUUCGCAGCUGAUUUUUGGGAGCCAGCAUCCACAGCAAAAACACUGAUGUCACUGACAUGGCACCUGCACUUUGGGUCUCUCUGCCAUUCUCUUUGGUGAUUGGAAACAGAGGUCAAGAGAUCUGCUGGAGCUGUAGGCAGGCCCCUCUUCUUCAGCCAUUGCUGUGUGGAAUUGGCUCACGCCUCUCUCUUGCCACCUCAUUCCUCCUCUGGCCCAGUUAUCAAAGUGAAGAACUCCGAGAGGACUGGGAAGGAUGCUAGACUUCGAUGUUCUAAAACUUGUUUGUUGUGUUUUAUUUUUAGAAUUGAUGUGUUUCUAACAGGUGGGGGGAGAGAAGAAAGAGGAAGCAGAGAAUGGGGAGAACAGAUUCAAUGGCUCCCAAGUAAUCCAUUGUCAAAACUUGCAAUUUGCUCUGCAAACCCCUUUGCCUGUUUCCUGUUACAGCCCUGAGGUGCUUGUAGUACAAAUCAAUCUACUUGAAAGCUAAGGCAGGAGUGAAGGAUGAAAAUGUAUACGUUUUCCAAACAGGAGGUAGAGACCAGGCAGGAAAUUAAGCCCUUUUAAUAUGGUAAGACCUAAACUUGAUUAUCAUUUGGUAAAAACAACCGGACAAAACAUUUAGAUUUAGUGGGCUUUUUUUUUUAUUUUGGGUAAAACUAUUUCUCAGCUUUUAAAUGGAUUAGCUGGGAUGUUGUACUCCUGAGUGUCUGUGGGGCUGCUAUGGGUGUCAGAUGCCAACAGAACUUUAGAAAUGCUGUCGUUUACUUUUGCACUGAAGUAAUGGAGGAAAAUUCUAUCCAGACUACUUUUAAUCAAAUAUAAAUUUUAUUUGCUGUAGUAUGUAUAUUAAAUAGUUAAACUUGGUUCA